CAGCCGCCGCGGUAAUACCGGCGGCCCGAGUGGUGGCCGCUAUUAUUGGGCCUAAAGCGUCCGUAGCCGGGCCCGUAAGUCCCUGGCGAAAUCCCACGGCUCAACCGUGGGGCUUGCUGGGGAUACUGCGGGCCUUGGGACCGGGAGAGGCGGGGGGGGACCCUGGGGGAGGGGGGGAAUCCUAUAAUCCCAGGGGGGCCGCCAGUGGGGAAGGCGCCCCGCUGGAACGGGUCCGACGGUGAGGGACGAAGGCCAGGGGAGCAAACCGGAUUAGAUACCCGGGUAGUCCUGGCUGUAAAGGAUGCGGGCUAGGUGUCGGGUGAGCUGCGGGCUCGCCCGGUGCCGUAGGGAAGCCGUUAAGCCCGCCGCCUGGGGAGUACGGCCGCAAGGCUGAAACUUAAAGGAAUUGGCGGG
rnacentral:rRNA from 1 species